rnacentral:rRNA from 1 species
UACGUAGGGCGCAAGCGUUGUCCGGAAUUAUUGGGCGUAAAGAGCUCGUAGGCGGUUUGUCGCGUCUGCUGUGAAAGCCCGGGGCUUAACCCCGGGUCUGCAGUGGGUACGGGCAGACUAGAGUGCAGUAGGGGAGACUGGAAUUCCUGGUGUAGCGGUGAAAUGCGCAGAUAUCAGGAGGAACACCGAUGGCGAAGGCAGGUCUCUGGGCUGUUACUGACGCUGAGGAGCGAAAGCAUGGGGAGCGAAC